GGCACAAGAACCUGUAAAGUUUUACAAAUCUUAGAAACACAGAUCAGAAAUCACAAAAUUUUACCUUUGAUUAGAAAACAGAAAACAUGAUUGUCUGGCAGUUCUUCUUUCUCGUUUCUGUUUAUGGGGUUUCAGCUGAGAUCAAACUGGAACAGUCGUCCUCUGAGGUAAAGAGACCUGGAGAGACAGUGAAGAUGUCAUGUACCAUGUCUGGUUACAGCAUGACGGAGUUCUACAUUCACUGGAUACGACAGAGGACAGGUGGACCUCUGGAGUGGAUUGGACGGAUGAACACAGGCAACAACUCUCCUCGCUAUGCCGGCUCCUUUCAGAGCCGCUUUACCAUGACUGAAGAUGUGCCAAGAAGCACUCAGUACCUGGAGGUCAUGACCCUGACAGCACAAGAUUCUGCUGUUUAUUUCUGUGCUCGAGAAGCACAGUGACUGAAGACAGUGAGACAGCUGUCUGAAAACCUCCACACAGUCAUCUCUCUGACAUCUGUAUCAGGGAGACAAAUAACACAGAUGUCAGAUGUCACUGCUGCUGUUUUCCUGAAAAACAUAAGAACAGUCCAUGUACUUGAGUAUGUUUUGAAAUUAAUAUUUCUAUGUCUUUCUUU